rnacentral:rRNA from 1 species
AUACGUAGGGGGCAAGCGUUGUCCGGAAUUACUGGGCGUAAAGGGUGCGUAGGCGGCGCCUUAAGUCAGAUGUGAAAUAUCCGGGCUUAACUCGGAGGGUGCAUUUGAAACUGGGGCACUUGAGUGCAGGAGAGGAAAGUGGAAUUCCUAGUGUAGCGGUGAAAUGCGUAGAUAUUAGGAGGAACACCAGUGGCGAAGGCGACUUUCUGGACUGUAACUGACGCUGAGGCACGAAAGCGUGGGGAGC